rnacentral:rRNA from 1 species
CCUACGGGAGGCAGCAGUGAGGAAUAUUGGUCAAUGGACGAGAGUCUGAACCAGCCAAGUAGCGUGAAGGAUGACUGCCCUAUGGGUUGUAAACUUCUUUUAUAUGGGAAUAAAAUGUUCCACGUGUGGGAUUUUGUAUGUACUAUAUGAAUAAGGAUCGGCUAACUCCGUGCCAGCAGCCGCGGUAAUAUGGAGGAUCCGAGCGUUAUCCGGAUUUAUUGGGUUUAAAGGGAGCGUAGGUGGAUUGUUAAGUCAGUUGUGAAAGUUUGCGGCUCAACCGUAAAAUUGCAGUUGAAACUGGCAGUCGUGAGUACAGUAGAGGUGGGCGGAAUUCGUGGUGUAGCGGUGAAAUGCUUAGAUAUCACGAAGAACUCCGAUUGCGAAGGCAGCUCACUGGACUGCAACUGACACUGAGGCUCGAAAGUGUGGGUAUCAAACAGGAUUAGAUACCCCGGUAGUC